rnacentral:misc_RNA from 1 species
UGAGAUUGUAACUAAACCGACUCAAAGAACGAAUACCUAUGACUGAACUAAUCACUUGAUUGCUAAACCGAGGAUGUUGACUGUGUUGAAAGACUAGGUCAUCGCCCAUACAACUUGGUUUUAACACUACUCUGCUAUCAGAAUAAGGAGAUUGGUAUUAAACCGAAACCCUAACCUGGACUGCUAACGGCUUCUUCUCUUGUUAGAGGAAGCCCUGGUUCAAAGUCUUAUUUAUGUUACACGUAGAAACUCUUCUUGUUCAAUCCUUUAAUCCGCUCUCAGGAACGACGAGAGAGUAACUAAGCCGAAAAGGUGGAGCGAGAACUGCCGGCUCGGUUCAUCGAUGACAG